CUCUGUUAGAAAAGUCCAGAAGCUGCCCCAUGUUAGAUAGGGGCCAGUUUCAGCUGGCUCCAAAAGAGAUAUGCUGAUGGCCAGAGCUGAGCCAGUUCCGUGCACCUCUUGGAGGCAGGAGCUGCAUGUAAUAACUUAACCAGAAAGAAUGAGAAUGAAUGCCUUGGUCCCAGAAGGAUAAGAAGAUAAAGAUAGGCUUACUGACAAGAUUAGCAUCAAAAGAUUCCUCCUUUUGAUACAGUUUCAAAAAGGUUUCUAUCAAACAGUUCCUUCUCAUCAAGUUGUACGUAUGACCGAACAUUUUGAUGCCAGGAAACUCCCGCCUCAACUUCUCUAGAACUGAAGAAACAAACUGACAUUCACAGGUUCCUGUCCCCAAAGAGAGUGCUGUGGUGUCUGGAGCUGGAGAAGGUGCAGCCGUCGAGGAUGUAAAGGCAGCAACAGAGCCAGACAUGCAGGAGACAGACCAAAAAAUGUGGAUUGCGAAUAGAGAACUGUCGAGCACCCAGGAAGAUGUAAGGAAGAUGUAAAUGAAAAUUAACCAGCAAGUGACUCUAUUCAGCGAACAGAUGUCACUUAGGAUCUCUUCUAAGUCUGGUUCAGAAGCAGCCCAAAGAAUAAUUUGCAAGCUGUAACACAUACUCUAUAAUAUAGUAAUGCCAUUGGGACUGACCUCCUCGCCUCUCUAAAUUCAAUUCUUCCGCAGACCUUCAAAUGCCAAAAUGAAGAGAAACGUGGAGCACUGCAGGGACAGGGGGCAGCACUCCUGAGGUCAGCAGCGUCUCUGGCUUUAGGCUACAUCUACAGUUUGACAUCCCUGGAAACCCGAAGGAGUGUUUUGGCAGUAAUAUGGAUGUGAAUUUACAGCUAAAGAGAUUAAUUCCUUGACAUCCUCUUUUCAAACUCAGGUGAAAGAGAAAUUUCUGUGUCUAGAGUAGCAAGAGCUUCUGUGAAACCAUAGCAAUAACUGCAAAAUUGUUUCAUCACUGUUCAAAGGCCUGCAGUGAAGCAUAUUCACGUGCCUUCUCUGUAAUAGACCUUUGAGCAGGGACAGGAUCAGCCUGUUUUAAGGUUUCUUUAAUACUGCUUAGAGAAAAUCCCACCAUUUACCACAUGGAAACUCUUGUGAAAUGUCUGGAAGAGCUAUAGAGCACAGGCUUGUGAAUACUGGAAGGGAAGCAAAGAGAAAAAAAGUAAGCUUUAAUUAAGAGUUUCUGCUAGAUCUCUUUAAUAUAUUGAGGUAACAAAUCUAGAUAGUACCUCAUCAUCCAAUAUUCAUAAUGCCUGAAUUCCACUUUUUAAGACUCCUCUUGGGCUGUGUAUGCCACUGAGUGUUGGUUUGUAUCAGUGCUCACAUCCUUCUUCUUGCCCCUUCCUGGAUUUAACAUGCAUAGUUUCUCUCAUUUCUUCAACUAAGACUGGUUUUGCAGUGCAAAACACACUAAUGAGUCCUACCUUGCAACUUCUUUGUAGUUCCUUUUUUCAUGAUUUGAUAGCUCUUCUAAGUAGUACAGAUUAUAGCAGCCGCCAAUAUUCAGCAUGGUGAAGAGUAUCCUGUGAGAGGGUCCCAGCCUUUACUCUUCUAUCAGAAAUAGAGCCAGCCACUUUCAGUAUUGUCAACAAUCUUGUGAGUCUUGUUUAUCCAUUAAGAUAGACUGUGAAAAGAAGCAUUUUUAGAGGAAGUUAAAAAUUAAAAAAUUAAAAAAAUUGUAGUUCAGCAGCCCAACUACUGAAGUACUACAUGGAAUCAUAGAAUAAGAACUUGAGAUAUUUAAACAAUAUUGGUAAAUUUUUGGCAUCUGAGUCAUACAAUUUCUUUGUCUGCUUGUCCUUUAUGAAAAUGAAAGAUAACACCCCAACUACAACCCGUGGUCCAUUGCUCUUCUACUCUUCCAGGAUUCACAAGUGUUUUUUUAGGGAUAUCAGAGGACACAUUCCUGCCUAUUCCCUUCCAUAUUGGUUAUGAACCAUCUGCCUAUAAAUUUGCCUAAUACUUUUUGAAACUCCGAUAAUAUUUUUCCUUUUUUUUGCCCUCCGGGUCAAAAAAAUGUGGAAGUCGAUUAUUCACCAUGAAAAAACACCUUGCUUUAUAUUAGCUAUCUUAAGUUAACGAUUAUAUUGCCUACUCCUUAGUUCUUUUACUGUAGGAUUUGGUAAGCAGCAGGUCUGCAUUUACCUCACCCGUUGCUUUCAUGAUUUUGAAAACAGAAUCACAGAAUGGUUCAGGUAGGGGCCUCCAAAAAAAGGGGCCUCCAAAGAUCAUCUAGUCCAACUCCCCUCCCAAACAGGACCACUUUGAGCACAUUGCACAGGAUGGCAUCCAGGCAGGUUUUAAAUAUCUCUUGAGAAAGAGACUUCACAACCUCUCUGGACAAACCUCAAACAGGUUUUCAUUCCAUGGUGGAAUUAUUAAUAAUAAUUAAAAUAUUGUUAUUAAAAUAUACAUUUUAAAUAUAUAAAAUGCCAUUGAAAUUUAAUUCAGUUACCAGAAAUGCUGAGGUCUCUCUGAAGAGCUGUGACAUGAUAUGUUUCUUAGGCCUUUUAUUCUCUUUUUGACAGCUUUGUUCUCAUACAUACUAAUAUGAUCAGGAGGGGUUCCUGCCUCAUUCUGCAUGUAAUUCAGCAAGAAAUCAUGACUUUUGUUUCAACAUUUUGUUCUGUUAAUCAGAUCAGAAAUGAACUCAGAGAUUCUUCAGCAGACAGAAAAUCAAAUUUCUUUUGGAGGUUUUAUGUCUGAGGUCUUAUGAUACUCUGGAUGUUUUCAUAAGAUAACUUCUCACAGGAUAAUCCUACAUAUAAAUGCUUUAUAGGGUCUCUACAUAAAAGCAAACAAUCUGAAAGCCUUAUAAAAUUAAUUACCUAAUUUAUCUUUGAAUUUGGAGAAUCAGAUAAAACUGAGGACACAAUGAGCAGUGCUUUGACAGUUGAAUGAGAAAGUGAUGUCUUCCUUUUUACAUUCCAGAACCAUUGGAUCUUUCUGUAUGCACAAAGAAUAACAGAAUCAUAGGAUGACAGAAUGGUUUGGGGUGGAAAGGACCUUAAGAGUUAUCUAGUUCCCAUAUCCCUGCCAAGAAUAGGAACACCUCCCACUAGACCAGGUUGCUCAGAGCCUAAUCUAACAUGGCCUUGAACACUUCCAGGGAUGGAGCAUCCAUAUCUGGGCAACCUGUUCCAGUGCUCCACCACUCUCUGAGUGAAGAAUUUCUUCCAAAGUUCUAAUCUGCAUCUCCCCUCUUUCAGUUUAAAGGCAUUCUCCCUUGUUUUAACAUUAUCUGACUGAAAAUAUAUUUGACUAUCUGAAUUAAAGCUUUUUAUGUAAUUGGUAGUGAUAAAUCCAUAUAAAUCUACCUUAUCAUUUCACAAGACUUCUUUUGUUGCUGGUUUUCCAUUUGGUAAGUGAUUUUAUUGAUUUUUUUUCCCAAAAUAUUUUCUCUUUAGUAUUGUCAGUAUAAUACAAUUUAAUCAGUGUCCCCCUUACUAUUAGCAUCUGUCUCUGUAACUGCAGAUACAUUAUUGUUUCAGGGGCUCUGCUUUUGUAAUGCAAAACAUAUUCAAGACUGCAGUGCAGUAAAAAGUACUUGGGACUUACCAAUAAAAGACUAGCUUACAUCUAAAAUAUGGAUAUGCAUAAUUAUUUGGAGGAGAAAAUAGAUUUCAUGAAAUAUUCUUGUAGAAUGUGCUCUAGCCACUUAAUCAUAUCCCAGAAAUAAAAUUGGUCUUGCUUAGGUCUCUUAGACCUUUGGUUACAGUAAACUACAAUCUGCCCUUAUGAACUUACAGACCUCGACACUUUAUGCCUGAUAACUUUGACUCUAUAAGGCUUAUGGUUUUACCAAUCAUACUGAUCAAAGUGAGCCCAAGGAAAUUUAGAAUGACUGUCAACCUUUCCCUUUUUAAUUUUACAACUUUUAUAUUCAGCACAUCUGACAAGAGACUCAAGUUUCAUUGGGAAGAACAACACUUCAAACAACAAGCCACUUUUCAUAUACAUUUACUGCAAAGAACGUAGAACACUUUCCUGGAAAAUUCAGGUUAAUAUGUUUCAUAACAGCUACAGAAAAUUUCCUUUCACCAAAUUUUCAUUUCACUUUUAAGACAAAAAUAAAAUCCUAUUCAGUAUUAGUAUGAAGGUUGUAACUGUUUUUGAUUGGUUGGUUUGUUCCCUUUUUCCUUUCCUGUAUAACAUUUUAAUAUUUUUCUGCUUUGUCUUUAAGGUUCUUUUCUUUGCUGCUCACCCAAGGGCAAGUUUUUCCAUAUGAAGAAUUGCAGUGUAACAAGCAGCUGUCAGAAAAGCAAAACAAUCAAAUAAGCAGACAAAAGCAUAGAUAUUUUUCUUUUCUUCCCCUUAAACAGACGCUUGUUCUGUGUAACAACAUAUCUUAUGUCUUUUAUCAUAUCAUAUCUUUUAUCAUGUUGCAGCUAAUCCUGCCAUGAGUAUAACAGAGCACUGAGAGAGAAAUUCUGUGAGGAAUUUACUGCAGGUGCAUAAAUAACAAACUAUCAGCUUAAAGCUUCAGGCAGAUAAGUUUAAUUACUACGUUGUAGUUUAUCUAAAGAAUUUUGCGCUUCAUUCUGGCUGUAAGACUGACAUAUAUUGACAUAGCUAACCAUAAGCCUUCAGUCACAAUCCUAUGAAGUAGGAGCAGCUCACUUUCAAACAUCCAUGGUGUAAUGGAUAAAUACAGUUCAGGCUGUAGAAGCAGAAGUUUUUAUUGGCUGUGAUCUAGGCAAUAAGCUCAGCUGUGAUAGUUUUGUAAAAAAUUGUUUCAUUUUAGGCAUCAUGCAACAACUGAAACAGUAUGAUACUCUAGCACAAAUUCCUUUUAGUAACAUAUACUAACUGUAAUUAGUAGCUAGUAGUGACUACCUAUCAGUGUUAUUUUAUCUUAAAAUUGGGUCAAGUGUUGCUGGGGUAAAAUAGACACAUAACGUUUUGACUUAAUGAUAGCUGAUGGGGCUACUGCUUUCUUGUCAAAAAGAAAACUAAGGUCCCACUGUUACUGACUGCACAAUGACACAGUGAGAGAAGACCUUUGCCAGCACCAAGUCCCAUGCAUCAUGGAAGUAUUUCUUAAGCCCUCAAAGUCUUAUUCUUAUCUUCAUUUCUUGAGUUAGCAAGUAUGGACAAAGAGAUUAGAAUUCUAUUCAGGAGAUUUUAAAUAAUUUAAUAAAAAGUCUUGUGAAUCAUAGGAUAUCAGGUUUCACAGUAUAUCCUCAGUUGACCUUAAUCCCUUCAACAAGGCUAUAAUUCACCUUGUAUGGAGGUAAGGUCAUGUUUUGAAUGGAAUUGCUCCAA